GGAAGCAUGUGGUUAAAUUCGAAGCAACGGAGAACCUUUACCAGUCUUGACAUCUUCUGACACCCCUAGAGAUAGGGUUCCCCUUCGGGGGCAGAGUGACAGGUGGUGCAUGGUUGUCGUCAGCUCGUGUCGUGAGAUGUUGGGUUAAGUCCCGCAACGAGCGCAACCCUUGAUCUUAGUUGCCAGCAUUCAGUUGGGCACUCUAAGGUGACUGCCGGUGACAAACCGGAGGAAGGUGGGGAUGACGUCAAAUCAUCAUGCCCCUUAUGACCUGGGCUACACACGUGCUACAAUGGACAGAACAAAGGGCAGCGAGACCGCGAGGUUAAGCCAAUCCCACAAAUCUGUUCUCAGUUCGGAUCGCAGUCUGCAACUCGACUGCGUGAAGCUGGAAUCGCUAGUAAUCGCGGAUCAGCACGCCGCGGUGAAUACGUUCCCGGGCCUUGUACACACCGCCCGUCACACCACGAGAGUUUGUAACACCCGAAGUCGGUGAGGUAACCUUUAUGGAGCCAGCCGCCGAAGGUGGGACAGAUGAUUGGGGUGAAGUCGUAACAAGGUACCCGUA
rnacentral:rRNA from 1 species